UACGGAGGGUGCAAGCGUUAUCCGGAUUCACUGGGCUUAAAGGGUGCGUAGGUGGGGCUGUAAGUCAGUGGUGAAAUCUCCAAGCUUAACUUGGAAACUGCCGUUGAUACUAUAGCUCUUGAAUGUUGUGGAGGAGAGCGGAAUAUGUCAUGUAGCGGUGAAAUGCUUAGAUAUGACAUAGAACACCAAUUGCGAAGGCAGCUCACUACACAAAUAUUGACACUGAGGCACGAAAGCGUGGGGAUCAAACAGG
rnacentral:rRNA from 1 species